rnacentral:rRNA from 1 species
CAGCAGCCGCCACGGUAAUACGAAGGGGGCUAGCGUUGCUCGGAAUUACUGGGCGUAAAGGGAGCGUAGGCGGACAUUUAAGUCAGGGGUGAAAUCCCAGAGCUCAACUCUGGAACUGCCUUUGAUACUGGGUGUCUUGAGUGUGAUAGAGGUAUGUGGAACUCCGAGUGUAGAGGUGAAAUUCGUAGAUAUUCGGAAGAACACCAGUGGCGAAGGCGACAUACUGGAUCAUUACUGACGCUGAGGCUCGAAAGCGUGGGGAGCAAACAGGAUUAGAUACCCCCGUAGUCCCUGUCUCUUAUAC